UAACAUCGAAGUAAGCCUUCCAUGCUAAUCGGUUUGCAGUUUACAGCUAUCUUUUGCAAAUAUUGUAAAGUCCGUAAUAGGACAGAAAUUUUAACAGUUAGGUUCGUCUGCAAACACUGGUUUUACGAAAUACAUGAACUUGAACAGUUUGUAACGACAUUAUUCGACUGUUGUUCUUACAGCUAUUCUUACAAGGCAACCGAGUGCAAAUUAAAACUGCGGUAUGUGUUUGUUAUGUUGUUUGAUUGUUUGUUUUGUCGUACCGAUAACUUGUUGUUCAGUAUUUUUCAGAUGCAAUAGACGAGAAGAUGAAAGAAUUGGAAGUCAGGAAGGCUGUAAGUGUUGCUAUCAUUCGCCAGAUUUAACAAUUUUGUUGCUUGUGUCUCUUUUAGAACGACCUAGCCUUGGCCUUACCAUGGUGAAUUAACGUUUCUUAAGCUAUUCUUACAAGGCAACCGAGUGCAAAUUGAAACUGCGGUAUGUGUUUGUUUGUUAUGCUGUUUGAUUGUUUGUUUUGUCGUACCGCUAACUUGUUGUUCAGUAUUUUUCAGAUGCAAUAGACGA